GAUGAACGCUAGCGGGAGGCUUAACACAUGCAAGCCGAGGGAGAAGUUGUUUUCGGACAACGGACACCGGCGGACGGGUGAGUAACAUGUAUGCAACUUGCCCCUAUCAGCGAGAUAACCCGGGGAAACUCGGACUAAUAUCGCAUAACAAACGAAAUAGCAUUAUUUUGUUUAAAAGAUUUAUCGGAUAGGGAUAGGCAUGCGUAGGAUUAGUUAGUUGGUGAGGUAACGGCUCACCAAGACGAUGAUCCUUAGGGGGCCUGAGAGGGUGAUCCCCCACACUGGUACUGAGACACGGACCAG
rnacentral:rRNA from 1 species